AACGAACGCUGGCGGCAGGCUUAACACAUGCAAGUCGAACGCCCCGCAAGGGGAGUGGCAGACGGGUGAGUAACACGUGGGAACAUGCCCAAAGGUACGGAAUAUUCUCGGGAAACUGGGAGCAAUACCGUAUGUGCCCGAAAGGGGAAAGAUUUAUCGCCUUUGGAUUGGCCCGCGUUGGAUUAGCUAGUUGGUGGGGUAAAAGCCUACCAAGGCGACGAUCCAUAGCUGGCCUGAGAGGACGACCAGCCACACUGGGACUGAGACACGGCCCAGACUCCUACGGGAGGCAGCAGUGGGGAAUCUUGGACAAUGGGCGCAAGCCUGAUCCAGCCAUGCCGCGUGAGUGAUGAAGGCCCUAGGGUUGUAAAACUCUUUCGUGGGGGACGAUAAUGACGGUACCCCAAGAAGAAGCUCCGGCUAACUUCGUGCCAGCCGCCGCAGUAACAC
rnacentral:rRNA from 1 species